rnacentral:rRNA from 1 species
CUGGGCGUAAAGCGAGCGCAGACGGUUACUUAAGCAGGAUGUGAAAUCCCCGGGCUCAACCUGGGAACUGCGUUCUGAGCUGGGUGACUAGAGUGUGUCAGAGGGAGGUAGAAUUCCACGUGUAGCAGUGAAAUGCGUAGAGAUGUGGAGGAAUACCGAUGGCGAAGGCAGCCUCCUGGGAUAACACUGACGUUCAUGCUCGAAAGCGUGGGUAGCAAACAGGAUUAGAUACCCUGGUAGUCCACGCCCUAAACGAUGUCAAUUAGCUGUUGGGCAACUUGAUUGCUUAGUAGCGUAGCUAACGCGUGAAAUUGACCGCCUGGGGAGUACGGUCGCAAGAUUAAAACUCAAAGGAAUUGACGGGGACCCGCACAAGCGGUGGAUGAUGUGGAUUAAUUCGAUGCAACGCGAAGAACCUUACCUGGUCUUGACAUGUACGGAAUCCUCCAGAGACGGAGGAGUGCCUUCGGGAACCGUAACACAGGUGCUGCAUGGCUGUCGUCAGCUCGUGUCGUGAG